rnacentral:sRNA from 1 species
AGGGCCCGAGUUGAGAGCUUCAUGUUUUGCUUUUCGAACGUUCAAACAAUGUAAGUUACUUUAUGAUAUAGACGCUGGUGGAUAAAGGAAAACAAUUCAGAGACGAAGAACUCUAACUGCAACAUAGAAAACAGAUUUCCCAAGGAACCUCUUUGUUAAUGAAUUUUUAGCAUACAGGGAGAAGUGAGACAGAGAGGAAAUAAAAUCCUUGAUAACACGCAAAGCAUUGGCGUUGAAAUGAAUGGACCAAGAGAAUGGAAGUUCAAGUUGCUAUCAGCGCAGAGUUGGAAAAGGAAUUCAUUUAGCGUUUAACCACUAACUAGUGAACUAUGCCUCGGUAAUCCUUCAGUUAACUAUAUCAAGCGAUGAAUGUCGACGAAAGAUCAAAGCAAGUGAAUCAGAGGCAAUGAAUCUGUCUGAAUACUGGAUUUGAUAGAGCUCUCCAAACGUCAAUCAGAUCAUCGACAAUGCUACCCGCUAAA